GACGAACGCUGGCGGCGUGCUUAACACAUGCAAGUCGAACGGAAAGGCCCUGCUUGUAGGGUACUCGAGUGGCGAACGGGUGAGUAACACGUGGGUGAUCUGCCCUGCACUUCGGGAUAAGCCUGGGAAACUGGGUCUAAUACCGGAUAGGAGCCAUUUUUAGUGUUAUGGUUGGAAAGUUUUUUCGGUGUAGGAUGAGCUCGCGGCCUAUCAGCUUGUUGGUGGGGUAAUGGCCUACCAAGGCGGCGACGGGUAGCCGGCCUGAGAGGGUGGACGGCCACAUUAGGACUGAGAUACGGCCCAGACUCCUACGGGAGGCAGCAGUGGGGAAUAUUGCACAAUGGGCGCAAGCCUGAUGCAGCGACGCCGCGUGGGGGAUGACGGCCUUCGGGUUGUAAACUCCUUUCGCUAGGGACGAAGCUUUUUGUGACGGUACCUAGAUAAGAAGCACCGGCUAACUACGUG
rnacentral:rRNA from 1 species